rnacentral:rRNA from 1 species
GACGAACGCUGGCGGCGUGCUUAACACAUGCAAGUCGAACGAAGUGGCGAACGGGUGAGUAACGCGUAAUCAACCUGCCCUUCAGAGGGGGACAACAGUUGGAAAGGAAUGCUAAUACAGCAUACUGAAUGAGGGGUUUGCGUCUGAUUAGCUAGUUGGGGGGGUAACGGCCCCCCACGGCGAUGAUCAGUAGCCGGUCUGAGAGGAUGAACGGCCACAUUGGGACUGAGACACGGCCCAGACUCCUACGGGAGGCAGCAGUGGGGAAUCUUCCGCAAUGGACGAAAGUCUGACGGAGCAACGCCGCGUGAGUGAUGACGGCCUUCGGGUUGUAAAACUCUGUUGUUAGAGAAGCGGUAUCUAACCAGAAAGCCACGGCUAACUACGUGCCAGCAGCCGCGGUAAUAC